GACGAACGCUGGCGGCGCGCUUAACACAUGCAAGUCGAGCGAAGCGGCGGACGGGUGAGUAACACGUGAGUAACCUGCCUUAGACAUUGGGAUAGCCUCGGGAAACCGGGCUUAAUACCAAAUGGUCUAAGAUGGACUCGCGUCCCAUUAGCUAGUUGGUGGGUAACGGCCCACCAAGGGGACGAUGGGUAGCCGGGCUGAGAGGGUGAACGGCCACAUUGGAACGUAGAAACGGGCCAAACUCUCAGGGAGGCAGCAGUGGGGAAUAUUGCACAAUGGAGGGAACUCUGAUGCAGCGACGCCGCGUGAACGAAGAAGGCUUUCGAGUCGUAAAGUUCUUUUAUAUGGGAAGCGGUACCAUAAGAAAAAGCCCCGGCUAACUACGUGCCAGCAGCCGCGGUAAUU
rnacentral:rRNA from 1 species